rnacentral:rRNA from 1 species
UACGUAUGGUGCAAGCGUUAUCCGGAUUUACUGGGUGUAAAGGGAGCGCAGGCGGUUCUGCAAGUCUGAUGUGAAAGCCCGGGGCUCAACCGCGGGACUGCAUUGGAAACUGCAGGACUGGAGUGUCGGAGGGGUAAGCGGAAUUCCUGGUGUAGCGGUGAAAUGCGUAGAUAUCAGGAGGAACACCGGUGGCGAAGGCGGCUUACUGGACGAUGACUGACGCUGAGGCUCGAAAGCGUGGGGAGCAAACAGG